rnacentral:lncRNA from 1 species
UGUGAUUGGAUUAAAUUUGUUUUGAUUCUUAUCAUUUGCGAGGUAAAUGACCUAAUACUUCUCAGUGUGUUUUUAAAAAUAAUUUAAUAAUUUUUGCAUCUAUUUGAUUAAGUGGUCAAGUAUGUUAGUUUUAUUUCUCGUAUAAGAAUUAAUUAUGUAUUUUGAUAUGCUUGUAAAUAGAUUAGUUUAAUGCAUGAUCUAUUCCAAAUAAUGAUUUUACAAAGUGUGAUUGGGUAACUUGUGAAACC